rnacentral:rRNA from 1 species
AUUGAACGCUGGCGGCAGGCCUAACACAUGCAAGUCGAGCGGGGUUUUCGGACCUAGCGGCGGACGGGUGAGUAAUGCGUAGGAAGCUACCCGAUAGAGGGGGAUACCAGUUGGAAACGACUGUUAAUACCGCAUAAUGUCUACGGACCAAAGUGUGGGACCUUCGGGCCACAUGCUGUCGGAUGCGCCUACGUGGGAUUAGCUAGUUGGUGAGGUAAUGGCUCACCAAGGCGACGAUCCCUAGCUGGUUUGAGAGGAUGAUCAGCCACACUGGAACUGGGACACGGUCCAGACUCCUACGGGAGGCAGCAGUGGGGAAUAUUGGACAAUGGGCGAAAGCCUGAUCCAGCCAUGCCGCGUGUGUGAAGAAGGCCUUCGGGUUGUAAAGCACUUUCAGUAGGGAGGAAGAGUUGAGUGUUAAUAGUACUCAGCUUUGACGUUACCUACAGAAGAAGCACCGGCUAACUCUGUGCCAGCCGCCGCAGUAAAAC